UUUCUAGCAUGUUCUCCGUCUAACGGAAGCAGCCAUCAGUCCCGCGUCUUGCAGCAAGUGUGAUCGCUUGGCCACGCCCUCGACAGACUGCAGUCAGUGAGUGACGUGUCACCUAAUCAGCCAUCAGUCCCCGCGGGUUUCGACCGUGUGGUCUCGACAGACCGCGUGACUCACGUGUUCUUCUGCUCCGUGCGGAAGCAGCCAUCUUGUGUGGCCUCGACAAC